rnacentral:tRNA from 1 species
UCUAAUAUGGCAGAGUAGUGCUAUGAAUUUAAGAUUCAUCCAUGGAUGAAUAUCCUAUUAGAA